GGUAACCGUAGAGUUUGAUCAUGGCUCAGGAAGUCGUAACAAGGUAGCCGUAGAGUUUGAUCCUGGCUCAGGAUGAACGCUAGCUACAGGCUUAACACAUGCAAGUCGAGGGGCAGCAUUUUAGUUUGCUUGCAAACUAAAGAUGGCGACCGGCGCACGGGUGAGUAACACGUAUCCAACCUGCCGAUAACUCAGGGAUAGCCUUUCGAAAGAAAGAUUAAUACCUGAUGGCAUAGGAUUAUCGCAUGAUGAUCCUAUUAAAGAAUUUCGGUUAUCGAUGGGGAUGCGUUCCAUUAGUUUGUUGGCGGGGUAACGGCCCACCAAGACCGCGAUGGAUAGGGGUUCUGAGAGGAAGGUCCCCCACAUUGGAACUGAGACACGGUCCAAACUCCUACGGGAGGCAGCAGUGAGGAAUAUUGGUCAAUGGACGGGAGUCUGAACCAGCCAAGUAGCGUGAAGGAUGACUGCCCUAUGGGUUGUAAACUUCUUUUAUACGGGAAUAAAGUGAUCCACGUGUGGAUUUUUGUAUGUACCGUAUGAAUAAGGAUCGGCUAACUCCGUGCCAGCAGCCGCGGUAAUACGGAGGAUCCGAGCGUUAUCGGGAUUUAUUGGGUUUAAAGGGAGCGUAGGUGGAUUGUUAAGUCAGUUGUGAAAGUUUGCGGCUCAACCCGUAAAAUUGCAGUUGAUACUGGCAGUCUUGAGUACAGUAGAGGUGGGCGGAAUUCGUGGUGUAGCGGUGAAAUGCUUAGAUAUCACGAAGAACUCCGAUUGCGAAGGCAGCUCACUGGACUGCAACUGACACUGAUGCUCGAAAGUGUGGGUAUCAAACAGGAUUAGAUACCCUGGUAGUCCACACAGUAAACGAUGAAUACUCGCUGUUUGCGAUAUACGGUAAGCGGCCAAGCGAAAGCGUUAAGUAUUCCACCUGGGGAGUACGCCGGCAACGGUGAAACUCAAAGGAAUUGACGGGGGCCCGCACAAGCGGAGGAACAUGUGGUUUAAUUCGAUGAUACGCGAGGAACCUUACCCGGGCUUAAAUUGCAAAUGAAUAAUCUGGAAACAGGUUAGCCGCAAGGCAUUUGUGAAGGUGCUGCAUGGUUGUCGUCAGCUCGUGCCGUGAGGUGUCGGCUUAAGUGCCAUAACGAGCGCAACCCUUAUCUUCAGUUACUAACAGGUCAUGCUGAGGACUCUGGAGAGACUGCCGUCGUAAGAUGUGAGGAAGGUGGGGAUGACGUCAAAUCAGCACGGCCCUUACGUCCGGGGCUACACACGUGUUACAAUGGGGGGUACAGAAGGCAGCUACCUGGCGACAGGAUGCCAAUCCCGAAAACCUCUCUCAGUUCGGAUCGAAGUCUGCAACCCGACUUCGUGAAGCUGGAUUCGCUAGUAAUCGCGCAUCAGCCAUGGCGCGGUGAAUACGUUCCCGGGCCUUGUACACACCGCCCGUCAAGCCAUGAAAGCCGGGGGUACCUGAAGUACGUAACCGCAAGGAGCGUCCUAGGGUAAAACUGGUAAUUGGGGCUAAGUCGUAACAAGGUAACCGUA
rnacentral:rRNA from 1 species